GGAUGUGAGGGCGAUCUGGCUGCGACAUCUGUCACCCCACUGAUCACCAGGGUUGAUUCGGCUGAUCUGGCUGGCUAGGCGGUGUCCCCCUCCUCCCUCACCACUCCAUGUGUGUCCCUCCCGAAGCUGCGUGCUCAGUUGAAGAGGACGACCUUCCCUGAUAGAAGGAAGACCGUCCUUAGGUCAAGGGUAUACAAGUAGCUGCGCUCCCCUGCUAUAACCUCCAAACAAGUCUCAAAAGUUCACAGUUUGACCCAUUCAGAUCUUGUCAAUUACACCAUUAAAUCGUGUGCACAAACACAAGCCAGUUGUCU
rnacentral:snRNA from 1 species